rnacentral:lncRNA from 1 species
GAACUGUUUUCUGAUCCAUAGCACUGGGUUACCUUCUGUUCUACUUUUGUCUUGUUUCAAAGGCCUUAAAAGAACUGCUCAAUUACUUAUCCGAAGCACCUGGGUUACCUUACAAUUUGCGUGCUGUUUUAAAAAUAUUUUGUUUAUUAUUGUAUUAAUUUGUGUGUUUUGUAUUUUUCAUAGUUGCAUUUAGUGUGCCGUGCAAAAAAUAUGAAAACUUGACGUUCGUGACGUCACAUACAAUAUGAAAACUCGACGUUCGUGACGUCACAUACCAAACAAUGACGUCAUUCAAAAAAUUUACCUAUUUUGAGGAAAAUUUUUCUUAAGCAAAAAAACUUUUAUGUAAAAAAAAAAAAAAAAAAAAAAAAAAAAGUAGGGGUGUGAUAAAGGGUAGGGGUGUGAUAAAGGGUAUGCGAUAAAGGGUAGGGUUGUGAUAAAGGGUAUGCGAUAAAGGGUGCGCAUCAAAGUUGCGCGAUAUGGAUUAAACAGCAGGCUAUUUAUCACAUAUGCAAAACUACUGUAUUUACUACUAAACAUAUGAUAAAUUGAUAUAAUG